AGGGCUUUAUUUUUCCAGAGUUCUGGAGGCUGGGAAGUUCAACAUCAAAACAUCAGUAGGUUCAGUUGUCUGUUGAGGGCUCAUGUCUGUUUCCAAGAUGAUGCCUUCAUGCUGCAUCUUUUGGAAGGGAGGAGCAUUGUGUCCUCACAGAGCAGAAAAUAGAAGGGCCACAGGACAAACUCCCUCUAUCAAGCCUUUUCAUAAGGGCACCUGAUCCCAUUCGCAAAGCUCUAUCUUCGUGACUUGACUUAAUCACUUCCCAAAGGUCCCACCUCCUAAUACUUACACUGUUUCAACAGUAAACAGUUUAUGUAGAGUUUCAACAUAAAUUAAGGAGGGGACAAAACAUCCAAACCAAGGAAGGCUGGGAGGGCAGCCAGAGGGAAAGUGCAAGAGGAGGUUUGGUGGAGGUGUCCUAGAUUGUUUGCAGUCCAAGGAGGUUGGGGAGAGUGUCAGUAACAGGCCUGCCUUGGUAUCCCUGCUCUGCAGUCACUGGCUAAGAGCAGUCCUUAGAAAGCACAGCCUGGCACAAAUACAACAAGAAUAUGUGCUCAGUAGGAAAGAGACCACAUUUCCCCAAUAGCCCAGGUAAUGCCCUCCCCUCAACUGGCAUCUCUGUUCCCUAAACAUUGACCUCUUUUCUCUGAAUCUCUUGGGGACACAUGGGUUGAAUUCAGGUUCUCUGUAGCCCUCUGGAUUCUGUCUGCCUCUGUUAUAUCUUCACGAACAAGUUACGCAGCCUCAACUAAAGCUUGUAACAGAGCAAAGUUACUCUCCUGAGUGUGUCCUCUGAUGGAUGGUGAGAUAUAACUUCAAGAUGAAGCCUCACCCACACUCCCUGUACAAAAACGCUUCUCACGUAAGUGUCUCUUUAAGUGCUUACUGUAGUAUGACUUAUUGCUAAACUUUCGUCCACACUCUUGGCAUUCAUAAGGCCUCUCUCCUGUGUGUAUUCUUUCAUGCACAGUGAGGUCUGACUUACUGGUAUAGCCUCGCUUACACUCCUGGCAAACAAAAGGCUUCUCCUUUGAGUGUAUCCGCCAGUGGUGUCUGGUGAGACUUCUCUUCCAGCUGAAGCCUUGCCCACACACAUUACACACGAAGGGCUUCUCCCCUGAGUGUGUCCUCUGGUGUGUGAGGAGAUUUCCCUUCCAGUUGAAGCCUCGCCCACACUCCUUGCAUACAAAAGGCUGCUUGCCAGAAUGUGCAAGCUGGUGUUUCACAAGAUUUGACUUCCAGAUAAAUCCUUGCCCACAUUCACUACAGAUGAAAGGCUUCUCCCCUGAGUGUGUCUUCUGGUGGAAGAGGAGAGUUGAUUUUAGGAUGAAGCCUCGCCCGCAAUCCUUGCAAUUAAAUGGCCUUUCCCCUGAGUGUGUCCACUGAUGUCUAAGAAGAUUUGCCUUCAAACUAAAACUUUUCUCACACUGCUUGCACAUGAAGGGCUUCUCUCCUGAGUGUGUCCUCUGAUGUAUGGUGAGAUUUGGCUUCAAGGUAAAGCCUCGCCCACAAUCCCUGCAGAAAAAACGUUUCUCACCCAAGUGUGCCCUCAGGUGCUUGUUAUAGGAGGACUUAUCCCGAAACCUUCGCCCACACUCCCGACAUCCAUAAGGCUUCUCCUCUGAGUGUGUCCUCUGGUGUAAAGUGAAGGUUGACUUUUGGAUAAAGCCUCGUCCACAGUCCUUGCACACAAAAGGCUUCUCCUCUGAGUGUGUGAUCUGAUGUUUCACAAGGGUUGACUUCUGAAUAAAUCCUUGCCCACAUUCUCUACAAACAAAAGGUUUCUCCCCUGAGUGUGUUCUCUGGUGGUAGACAAGAGUAGACUUUUGGCUAAAGCUUCGCUCACAAUCCUUGCACACAAAAGGCUUCUCUCCUGAGUGUAUUCUCUUGUGCACAACGAAGUAUGACUUAUUAGUAUAGCCUCGCCCACACUCCUUGCACACAAAAGGCUUCUCCCCUGAAUGCGCCUUCAAGUGCUUGUUGUAUGAGGACUUAUCGUUAAACCUUCGCCCACACUCCUGGCAUUCAUAAGGCUUCUCUCCUGUGUGUGUUCUCUCAUGCACAGUGAGGUAUGACUUACUGGUAUAGCCUCGUCCACACACCUUGCACAGAAAAGGCUUCUCUCCUGAGUGUGUCCUCUGGUGUCUGAGGAGGUUGGCCUUGAGGCUGAAGCCUCGCCCACACUCACUGCACACAUAGGACUUCUCUCCUGUGUGUGUGUUCUGGUGCAAGAGCAAUGCUGACUCAUCUCUAAAGCCCUGGUGACACUCCCUGCAUGUAAAAAGUUUCUGCCUGGAAUGUGCUUUUUUGUGUAUGAUUACCAUCAUCUUCCGGCUGAAGUCUUGCCCACGCUCUGCACACUUGAAUGCUCCCCAUCUUGAAUUUUCUAUUCCUUUCAAUACUUUGUCUAUUUCUGUAGGAUUUUCCCUCUGGCCUUGACUAGACUCUAUUUCCACUACACUGUUCCUCCUCCUUGAGCUUACUGCAUGUCUUAGGGGUGGGCUGGAAAAUGCCAUGGGCUUAGUGCUUUUUUCUUUCUCUUGACCUUCAGCUGUGUCACUCUGGAAGCUUUGAUCAGAAAAUUGUAGUUGCUGUUGCCUCUGAUGUGCAAGUCCAAGAUUCUUGGGCCGCAGGACAUGUUCUGCA
rnacentral:lncRNA from 1 species